AGCACUUUUUGAGAGGAUGAGGAAGGACGGUACUCUCAGAAUAAGUCUCGGCCAACUACGUGCCAGCAGCCGCGGUAAAACGUAGGAGGCGAACGUUAUCCGGAUUUACUGGGCGUAAAGCGCGUGUAGGUGGGUUGGUAAGUAGGGCGUGGAAGCACCUGGCUCAACUGGGAGAGGCCGUUCUAAUCUGCCGAACUAGAGGAUGGUAGAAGGAAGUGGAAUUCCGGGUGUAGCGGUGGAAUGCGCAGAUAUCCGGAGGAAAACCAGUGGCGAAAGCGGCCUCCUGGACCAUUCCUGACACUCAGACGCGAAAGCUAGGGUAGCAAACGG
rnacentral:rRNA from 1 species